rnacentral:ncRNA from 1 species
CCCUGACAGUUGCAUUGUGCGACUGACACUAGCCAAGACAGGAGAUACUCAUG